GAGUGCAAUGGUGCAAUGGUUUGAAUUUUGGACUGAGACUCCCAAGACCAGGGUUCAAAUCCCCGCUCAUCCA